UGGGGAAUAUUGCACAAUGGGCGCAAGCCUGAUGCAGCCAUGCCGCGUGUGUGAAGAAGGCCUUCGGGUUGUAAAGCACUUUCAGCGAGGAGGAAGGGUAGUGUGUUAAUAGCACAUUGCAUUGACGUUACUCGCAGAAGAAGCACCGGCUAACUCCGUGCCAGCAGCCGCGGUAAUACGGAGGGUGCAAGCGUUAAUCGGAAUUACUGGGCGUAAAGCGCACGCAGGCGGUUUGUUAAGUCAGAUGUGAAAUCCCCGCGCUUAACGUGGGAACUGCAUUUGAAACUGGCAAGCUAGAGUCUUGUAGAGGGGGGUAGAAUUCCAGGUGUAGCGGUGAAAUGCGUAGAGAUCUGGAGGAAUACCGGUGGCGAAGGCGGCCCCCUGGACAAAGACUGACGCUCAGGUGCGAAAGCGUGGUGAGCAAACA
rnacentral:rRNA from 1 species